AUGAGGGUCCUGCACCCAGCCCAUCGAUGGUCCAGCGUCGUCUGCUCCGCCGGCAUCAUCAUCUUCAUGAUCAUGCCCAUCGUCUCCUCCGGCAUCUUCCUCAUCAUCAUGUCCUGCAUCUUCUACAUGAUGACUGUGUACAGCAUCACCGUCAUGAUCAUCUCUUGGGGAUUCUUCGUCUUCUCGCCCGCCCGAGCCGCGGUGGUUGUCUUGCUGCCCUUCCUCAUUUCUUGCCCGGCCCCCAUGGACGACUUCGUAGUCAUCUUCAUCACCUUGCCACCGAUAGCCAUCCAUGAAACCAUGCAAGAGCAGGUGGUCCCGCACCUGCCCGGAUUCCGGGUCCGCAAUAAGACUCUUCAGCUUGCAUCUUCGACACGGACAUCUUAUCUCCGUCUCGUUCUUUUGAAGCAUCUCGGCCUUCGCAGACCUCAAAAACCUAUUCACGAUGCCUUCGGUCAUCAUGCGGACCAUGGUCGCCUGCGGGGUAGAGCAAAACGAUAUUUUAGAACCAAGAAAAAAAUUUGGAAUGACUUUCCCUAA
rnacentral:rRNA from 1 species